rnacentral:lncRNA from 1 species
AAGUAGCCAUGAAGUAAGUUUAUGUUGGGAGGAGGGUCACUACAACAUGAAGAAUGGUAUUAAGGGUCUCAGCAUUAGGUAGGUUGAGAAUGACUAACCUAAACAGAAUUAAAAAACCAAAUAUUUACUAAUGAUAAGUGAUAAAUUUAUUUUAAAAUAAUUCUUUAGUCAUUUGAUUUUACCAUUCAUUAAACACAAAAAGUAAAUUUACAUACUAAUGAGAUCAAUGUCCUUAUUUUACUAUAAUUAAAUCUUGGCUGACUGAUACAGCAGUAUGUAUAGAGCAUUGUCAACACAACUAUUCUAUUUUAGUUGUGAAUGCCACUUUACAAUAAAUACAUUGUAAAGGGGCAGAGUUUUAUUUAGGAUGAUUUUAGAAAUUGGGAAUUCUGUCCCAAAUCCAAGCCAAAAUUGAACAAUUUUUUUUAUGAAACUCACAUCAGCAAUGCAACAAUUUUUAAAACAUUCUAACAGUACAGUCCAAACAUACUGAAUACUUACAUGCUGAAGAAUGACAGUCUCAUAUUAGUAGUCUUUCUUUUCACAAUUAAAUCACGUUUUGAAGUAAAAAGUCUGUACAGUAUACUUCAUAACGUUCAAUAGUCUGAAGCCCAGACCACAGAAUUUGAGACAGUCCUGGAUGUUCCAUAGCACGGGGCAUGCACAGUGCACAACAGUGUGCUGUGUGGUGAGAACCAGGGCUGCAGGACAUCCCAGCAAGCACUGCUGGAAGCAAUGCAGCUUCUUUACACACUUGAUUCUAAGUUAUUCUUUGGUUAUUGCCUGUUCAGAGACUUCUUUGGUGCCAUAUUUGUACAGCAUCCCUCACAAGUAGUUAGUUAUGUGACCACAUAUGAAAUCCCAACCCACAGUUUAAGCAGUCAGUCAGAGUGUAUACCGUCACAGUGUGUCUGUAUGUAUGCAGUUUUUAAAUGUUGGAGUAGCAGUUCGACGCUUUAUGUGAUAAAAGUACAUUUUGGUUUGUCCUGGUCCAUUGGCCUACUUGAACUUGACUUCCUAGCUGAAGAACUAUGUUGAAACAGUGCUAUGAACUAUGUGUGCUCUUCUGGUCUGCACUGCUUCCUCACAUCUGCAGGCGUCUGCAUUAGUCUCAGCUGUAUGUCUGAGCAUCACUUUCUGACUUACUCUCCAUAAACAAGUCAGUACAAAACACACAACCAUAGUUGGCUUUUAGCCACUUUUAGGCACACAGUUGAGUUCAUUUUCUGCAGCCAUUGCUGUCACCAUCUGCAUAGCUCUCCAUUUUUCCAACCUGAAACUUGCCUGCUUAAGCUCCCACUCCUUCUCCCUCUGUAUAUGGUUUCUCUGGACCUCCUAUGUGUGGAAUUACAUGGUGUUUGUCCUUUUGUGUCUAGCAUAACAUCCUUGAGGACUUUGUCAGAAUUUGUCUCUGUUUUAAGAAUCAGAAAAGUGAUCACAUGUCAUUUUUCCAUUGACUCGGGGUACUUGUCUUGCUUCAUCUUGUCCCUGUUGAGAAAUCCUGUAAAUGUGGUGUGCAAACAUCUGUGCACAGGGCUACUUUAAAGAAAUAGACAUGCAUUUUUAAAGUUCACACGCUUCAAUUAUUUCAUAGAUUUGGAUGCUAACAGGCGAUAAACUGGAAACAGCUACUUGUAUUGCCAAAAGCUCACACUUGGUGUCCAGAACACAAGACAUUCAUGUUUUCAGACCAGUAACCAGUCGGGGAGAAGCCCAUUUGGAGCUAAAUGCGUUUAGAAGGAAGCAUGACUGUGCACUGGUUAUAUCUGGGGAUUCUCUGGAGGUAAGCCUGAGUGUGUGUGUACAUGCCUGUAUAUCUCUCACUGUCUCCAGAGGUCAGACCAGUCUAUAACAGUGUGUAUCUUGGUUCUAAGAUAGGACUGGUCUGUAGUGUACCAUAUUCUAUUGGUCCAUCUGUCUCUUAAGACUGACCUCUGAUGAAGUGUGUGUCUGCCUGUCUUUCCAGCCCAGUGAGUGAAAAGUACUCCUCAGCAGCCUAGCCAGCCACUCCUGUCAUGGCAGUCGUGAGAACACUCAGUCCUAAGGACAUGUGGUGGCCAUGCCUGACUAGUCUUCUGUCCCUUCCUGUCUAGAAGCUGCUUAAGUUCAGUAGUUCAAGACCCUGUCCUGAUUCUGGGUCCCCUGCUCAUUGUUAAUAGCAUCAGUCUCCAGUGGCUAAAACAUUUCAGCCCACAAUAUGUAUUCUGUGUUUGUCCAAACCAGUGUUUCAGGUGUGUGCACUUGGACACAUGGUACCUGAGAAAAGAGCUAGUGGCCUCCAGUUAGUUUCACGUUGUUGUUAUUCCCUAUUGUAAGUAGGCAUGCUACAUAAUUUUCUACUCAACUUAUAAAAAAUGUAUGUUGCUUCUUAAACACACAUUCCUUAUUAGCUGCACCCGUGGUACAGAGGUUGCCUGUGGCAUUAUUCAGAUUCUCACGAUACUUCAGAGUGAAGGGCCCUAGAGGAGAGUGCAGGAAAACCCGUAUGGGAGAGGCCAGUGAGCCAGCUGUUAUUUGUCCUUAACUCUGUGUGGUUUCCAGCUCCAUGGACGUAUGGUCGAGGUACCAGCUUCUCCUGUGCUCCCUACUGCCGUCCUCUUCCUAGCACACUUAGGACCCUUAUACUGUAGCAUAUUGCACCAGUGUCUUCAGAGCUACCUUGCAGUUCUUUUAAGGUUUGAUAAGGGGCUGUCAGCUUCCAGCAUAGCUGCCUAUGACUGGUGUAUCAGCACCUCCAGAUCAGAAGAUGCCAUUCAUUUUGUGCUUUUAUAUUUCAAUAUGUUCCAAAUAGUCAUUUCUAUUUAUGUUUCUUUCAUUUGUUCCCUUAUAUUCUAAUGUGUUCUAAAACACCUUAUAAGUAGCUAACAAUAAGUACACCUCUUACAGGAGAUUAAAAGUUGCAUAAUGAGAAAUCCAUACC